ensembl:lncRNA
CUUCUUUAGGAGUUUAAGUUCAUGUAGAGGGAGGCAGGAAGGAAGCCUCUCCCUGAUCCCGGCGAGCUGCCCCUUGCACUAGGCCUUGUGCUGUAUGAGGUCCCACUCUAGCCAUGGGUGGAGCCAAUGAAACAAUUCCACCUCAAGCACAUUGCCCCCAUCCUUUCUCCAGGCUUCUAGAAUAGGAAUUCCUCCCUCAAUGGUUCCAGCAGCUUCCCAGGCAUGGAUUGGCCUCUUUCCAGUUCCAGCCCCUUAGAGCAGAUAACAUUGACCUCGUAAGCUCUGCCAGGCCUGUGGAUUGGGUGGGGGGAGCAGUUUAAGAAAGUGGUUGUGGAUAGAGCUUGGGUGUGUGGACUGUGGUGUCCAUGUGCAUGUAGCUCCUCUCAGUCAUGAUGGAAAUGUGAAUGGGAAGAAAGGAGAGAGCAAGUUACAGUCCAGGGGUUUCCAUUCGUAGUCUCGACCUGACCCAAAUCUGUUGUGAGUGGGUUUGAGCAUAGGUAAUUAGAUAAGCACACUGAAGGGAAGAAACCUUAGGUAUUAGUGCACCCGCAAACUAGAUUGCUCAGGGAAAGCUUCCCAGAGGAACUGACUUGUAAGGUAAGUACUGAAGACUGAGGAGCAGGAAGAGCAUUUUAGGGAUAGGGACCAGCGAGGUAAAGUGAAAGAGUGCAGCUCAUUGAAAGACCUGAAGGUUCAAUAUGCUCUACAGUUUCUUUGAGAUCAAAGCCAAGGAGAACUCAGUCUACUGGCUGAACUUGGCAUAUUCGCGAAGCUGGUUCUACUUUUUUCCUCUCUGUUGAUGGAAUAAGCAAAGAUUGUCUCAUUUUAAUUUUUCUCUGACUUUGAAAGAGCAAUAACUUUAGGAUUGACACUCCAUAAAGCAUCCUUCUGAGCCCUAGAGGCCUUCAACCCCUCUUCCUCAGCUCCUUUAUCUCCCUUUCCCAGAGUCCUUACGCUCUCAAAGGACAGAAAUGUUGGUCUUCCAGUAGGCCCUGGGAUAUAUUGAUUCCUACUCAGUCUUUCCCUCACAGCUGGUGGCUGAGUAUGUCUGCUCAAUGACUGUGACGUGAGCUAAUGACUUGGAGAGGUAUAAUGGGGGAAGGAAGGUGUAACGGGAAAGGAAAGCUGCAUGGGGAAGGAAGCUGUGCCAUGCACAGCCUUGUGAGGAGCAGACUGAAGCUGGUGUGAUGUAUAAGAGGGCCUGGAAGGGCGGUAAGAGGAGUAGAGGGGCUGCCCAGGGAAGAACAGAAGUGAUGGAUAGUGAGAACUUUUGUAGAUCUCGUUGACACCCUAAUUGGCGUGGAAGACAUUAUGGCAUUGGUAGGAGGUAGAUUUUGUAGAAACUAUAGCCUGAAGGGGUAUUAACUGUUUCUAUCUUGUGUCUCCAAUCCUGGCACAGAAACUGGGAAAGGGCAAGUUCCGUAACUAAGGAAUAGGCAAUCGCUACCGUGAAGGGUAAAAUCAAAAGGUAUUGUUUCAGAAUUUACCAGAAUAUGGUCAUUGCUACUCCAGACACCAUCUCUUUUCUGUGUAUGAGCUUGGAGAGUGAGACUAUUGUGAAAAUGACAAAUAGAAAUCUACAGUAUGAGCAUCUGACCCGAUUUAAUCACUGGAGCAACCAAUCCUGCCCCAUAUCGCAGUCACUUCCCCCUUUUCAGUGUUAUCCAUAUAUCCUCAAGUCCCUGAGAGAGUCUCUUGAAAUUAAUUUCCACUCUUCUCUUUAACUGAACUUCCACAUAAUUUGUUUUGUAUGCUUAUUAGCUGAGCAUGAAAUCCACAUUUAUUUUUAGUCCCCCAAUUUGUCAAUUAAAUGCUUUCCUAUGUCCAAUUUCUACCAAAUAAAAAUAUAGAAAUCUCUACUGAGGAGACAUUUUUGGAAUUGUCCUACUAACAGCUCUCUUAGUAACCUUUUAGAAUCAGAUCCCCUUCAUCUUCUGAAACCUAGUGCACUGACAUGUUAAAAGUGUCUCGGCGUAUAGCCUGUGGGAAAAAUAGGUUCAGAUCCGUACAAACAUGUUCAGAAUAUGGAGCAUUUAUCUUAGGAAUAAUGCAUUUAGUAAAAGAGAGAUGGAGAUUUUAAAUAAAAUGCCUACUUGAUCAGUAAUGUACAUUUUUAUAAUUCCUAGGUCAGGAAUCCCCAGAAGGAUUUGAGAUGAAGUUACUUUUGCUUUUCAGGGAGGACAGCAGUGGGUCAGAGAGUGGGGAGGGAGUAGCCAGUGAGGAUGAAGUCCAACUGUGGAGAGGGCUACUCAGACCAAAUUACUUGAGGUUGCUUGCUUCCUGCUAGGAAUCUUGGUAAAUCUCAAAGAAGCCAUAUGGAACUGGACAUUGGCUAGAUCUCUUACCAAGAAGGCUUCUUGACUUACCCACAAUUUCUGAUGUCAUCCCCAGGGCUGCCUGCUCUAGGCAAAUGUCAGGGCUAACUUACAUGGUUGUCCUGAAGGAAGCUUGCUUGGGGUGCUUCUUCAGGAAGGGACUAUGCUGUAUCCGAUGAAAAAUUAGCCCAUGCAUUCAAAUUAAUUCUUCUUCAGCAAUCUAAAGAAGUAGUGACCCUCCAAUGGACUAAUUGACUAGUUUAUUUAAGGGAAAUGUAGACUCAGGAGAUCCUAUCACGCUGAAAGGAAGGGAAAACUGCAACCUGAAAACAGAAAUUUGUUUUUGCUUUAAAAUUUACAAAACAGUUUUACAAGUACAACAUUUAGCAUAAAAAUAAGAAUCAUAGUUGAGUUAAUUCUGCAUUGUUUGUGCAUAUGAGAGGCACUAGGGUAAGAUAUUAGUGUGGCAAAUCAAAGCCUCUCCCACUCCCACUUCUGGUUCCUAUUUCUUGGUGUUUCAGGCCUUUGUACAUUUCCUUCUUGCAUCAAGAAUACCUCUUCUCUCCCUGUCCAUCUGGUAAACCUCCACUCACGUGUAAAGCUCAGCUCAUGCCUCCCCUCCUUAGCGGAACAGUCCCUGGCCAAGUUCCUCUCUGCAGAAGUUGGCUGCCAUCCUUUUGGCUCUCAGGGUGGCUCUAUGUUGGUUACCCUACAUCAUGUUGUGGAAAUGUUUCCUCAAGUAUUAGACUGUGCACUUCAUUUAGGUGGGGAUUGGAUUUUAUGAUUAUGUUCAUUUUCGUAACUACCCUGCAUGCAACACAGAACCUGAAAACUGGUAAGAGUUAAAUAAGAGUUUCUUGGGUAAAAAUAAACAAAUGCUUACUGCAAAAAUCUCUUGAGGUUGGUACUGCCACCAUCAACAUCUUACUGAUGGAGAAAUGGAGGCAAAGGGAAGUUAAGUGACUUUCCCAAGCUAACACAUCCAGAGACUGCAUUUUUAGUCAUUCCAAUGUAAGGAAAUGUCCAUGAAUCAUCAGGGAGAUAAAGCUGUGCUUGACCGGAUGCUGACAUCAGAUCUCAUUUUAUGGUGGUUUUUUACUUGAAACCCUCAAUCCUACAGUUAGUUAAUAAUUUAAAAGUCAUAUGGACAUAAAAUGCUGCAGAUGUACCCUAGGUCAGUGGGUCCUGAACAUCACUUGUAUCUAUAAAGAACCAUUUCUUGGGAUAUGUAGAGUGGGACUAAUCCUAUCGUUUUCCAGCUUCAAUGCCAGUUUAACGUUACUAACACUAGGUUAAAAUGAAUAGCUAAGACAGCCUUGAAAUGGAAACAUAAACGUAAAGAUGCAGCAGCUUAGGGUUUGCAGGGUAAGCAGGCAUUUGGACAUGGACAGUGGUGCCCAGUAUUGGUCUGGAUGCUGUGGUUGAAAGAUUAACUGUAUUUAUAGGAUGUAUAAUAUUUUGUGAACGUGAGAGGUAGAGAGAGAACAAGGGAGAGUGCCAGCUAUUAAGGGAGUUUGCAUGUGUGUGUGCAUGUUAUGGACUGAAUGUGUCCCCUCCAAAUUCAUAUGUUGAGGCUCUACCCCCCCACGCUGAUGGAAUUUGGCAGUGGGGUUUUGGGGAGGUAGUUAGGUUUAGAUGAGGUCAUGAAGGUGGGUCCUGGGACUAUCAUCCUUCUAAGAAGAGAAAAGGACACCAGCACACUCUCUCUGCCAUGCAAGGACACUACAAGAAGGCUGCUGUCUGCAAGCUAGGAAGAGAGUCCUCACUGGGCACUGAAUCAGCUGGCACCUUGAUCUUGGACUUCUCAGUCUUCAGAACUGUGAGAAACAAAUGUCUGUUGUUGAAACCACCCAUUCUGUGGUAUUUACAGCCUGAGCUGACUAAGACAGCGAGUAUGUGUGUGAGGUGGCCCCCUCGUCAGGUCAGGAGGUAGGGUAGCAACAGGAGAAAUGGUAGGGUGAGAGGGGCAAGGUUCACUUGAAGUUUCCUUGGGAAGAAUGUAACUCAGUCUGGGAGCCAAGGCUUAAGGCAGAGAGUGAACUCAAGGGCCACAGGGCCCAGUGGUAAUGGAGUGAGUCCUGCAGCCCGGAGGUGAACAGGAGGAACAUGCGCAGGACUGAGGAGGGCAGGCCCUGCUGCUACUCAGCUCCAGUCUCGUGCUGCAAUACUAGAAAGCAGGCCCAUGCUGCCAAAGAGAAGCUGGGAAUGUGGACUUUUAUAUGAAUCUCCUGAUUUUUUAAAAGUUGAUGGUUGGUUAAAUUUUUUCCUAAACAUUGUAAAAGCCAAAUAAAACUGUGAUACUAAAUUUUCCUUAGGACAAUCCAUGAGACCUCUAUCUUGGUGACUUAGUUCUGGUAUGGUCAUAGGUGAUACGGGAGAAAGAGCAUCCCAAGUGGAGACACCAGCACUGGGAAAGGUACAGAGGCAGGAAAGAGCCUUGGGGACAACUGGAGCACAAAUUAAGCAUGGAAGCCAGUGACAACAGAGAUAGCAGAG